GGGAAAAUGAGACGUGCCUGUGUGAGAGACGGAGAGUGCAAAGAGCAGACGUCAUCUAGCUUCUUAAAAUUUUUAAAGCGUAAUUUUCUCAACAACAACAGCAACAACAACCAAAAAGUCCUAUUUUAUCCUGUCUUUUUAAUCAUGUUCCUGGGAAAAGUUUGGCUGUACCCCUGAAAGUGUUUGGGUCAGACAUGUAAGGCAAUUCAUCUUCAAAUAAACGUAUUAUUUCGUUGCUGAGAAGUCAUGUUUCAAUUUUCUCUUUUCGCCGUAACACAGUUAUGCCUUUGAUCUUUUCCAGCAUCAGCCAACACAUGGAUAACACAUCGCUUAAAAGAUAAAGGCAAGCUCUGCCACCUAAAGGACAGACGAUCCUUCCGGUCCAGACGUGGGGGAAAAAAGUGGGAGGUGGAUGGAGACGGAGAAGGACCAUCUUAACCCAUUUGAUCUUCACAAGCACCCCA
ensembl:lncRNA